rnacentral:rRNA from 1 species
UUCCGGUUGAUCCUGCCGGACCCGACUGCUAUCGGAUUGAGAUUUAGCCAUGCGAGUCGAACGUCCCCCUGUUGCGGGGGGCGUGGCGUACGGCUCAGUAACACGUAGUCAACCUGCCCUCGAGACGUGGACAACCCCGGGAAACUGGGAUUAAUUCCAUGAUAAGCCAUCUCAUCUGGAAGGAGAGAUGGCCUAAAGGGGUGAGCGAGCUCCUUUCGUUCAUCUGCUCGAGGAUGGGACUGCGGCCGAUCAGGCUGUUGGCGGGGUAAUGGCCCACCAAACCUGUUACCGGUACGGGCCUUGAGAGAGGGGGCCCGGAGAUGGACACUGAGAGAAGGGUCCAGGUCCUACGGGGCGCAGCAGGCGCGAAACCUUCGCAAUGCGCGAAAGCGUGACGAGGUUAAUCCGAGUGGUUCCCGCUUAGGGGAUCUUUUGCCGGCUGUAAAUAUGCCGGUGAAUAAGGGGAGGGCAAGUCUGGUGUCAGCCGCCGCGGUAAUACCAUCUCCUCGAGUGGUCGGGGCGAUUAUUGGGCCUAAAGCAUCCGUAGCCUGUUCUGUAGGUCUUCUGUUAAAUCCAACGGCUCAACCGUUGGCGGACAGAGGAUACCGCAGACUAUGAGGCGGGAGAGGUGGGCGGUACUCUACCUGUAGGGGUAAAAUCCUUUGAUCCGUAAAAGACCACCAGUGGCGAAGGCGGACCCCAGAACGCACUCGACAGUGAUGCAUGAGAGCUGGCGGAGCGAACCGGAUUAGAUACCGGGUAGUCCAGCCG